AUUAACAGAUAAAACCCAGGAUUUCUGUUUUUAAAGAAAAUAAAUCUUCCCCUCCCUUUCCCAAUGAACAAUUUUCAAGUAUUCUUUGGAUAUUGUAAAGGAAAGAUAAGGAAUCUAAAUCCUCACUGACUUUCACCCACAAACAGUGACCUGAAUCAAUCCUCUGCAGCCCUGCACAAGCCUAGGAACAUCACCCAAGCCUGCUCUAACCCCAAACCCUCAGGCUGUACAACAGACAGAGCUGCUAUUUUCACUCCCUAGCCCUGCCAGCAAGGUGUGAUGUUGGCCACAAGCACAGGAACCCACCCUGUGGACACCAACCCCAAAGCAUGGGCUGGCAACAUAAGCAGUUUCUCAAUAAGUAAUUCAGAGCAGCAAACAUGCUUACCCCCACCAACAGCACCUGAAGCCUCACAGAAGGAUGAGCCACCCUCAGUGCAGGAUUUAAAUAGGCAGCAAUCACUUUCCCCGUGUAUAUUAACAGGGAACACCUGGGGGACUUUUUCUUGUUGGCUGCUUUGUGUAGCACUAGGGAUGUGCGUGCGAAAAGGGAGGCUGCUGAGCCCUGUUUCUCAAAGCCCACAGGCUGUGUUCAGCAUGGGUAUCCAAAUAUCCAAAAUAUCCUUUAUCUUGUAAAAAAGCUCCUCCAGAAACCUGUUAACCCACCCAGGAUAACUUACCCUGCUGUGCCUCCCAGUUACGCCAUGCAGCCUCCCAGCACCUGGAGCAGGAUGGAAAUGGCAACUGGGGAGCUUCAGGUUGGACCAAACGAGCAGCCCUGCUUGGUGAGAGCACAUGAAGCUGGUGUACAAGGCACCUCUGUGGCCGUGCCAGUGUCUGAAGGCUGAAUUUGGAUGUGCAAACAUGCCGAUUGCUGAUUUCUUUGGGCUGAUGUGGGCAGCAAGGUUAUCCUAAGUGAUGGCUCAAGCAGAAUACAAUCCCAUAAAAUCACUGCAGUUAAUGGAAAAGGACGUAUGUUUUCAAGCAGCAUGCAUCUGAUGCCUGCUAUCUGAAGAAAAUCACCAGGAAACCUUCCCUGAAGUCCAGGUGAGUGCAGGAAUGUCUCAAAGCAGGCGAGGAUCAAUGCAGGAGUUGUGGGAAUCCCUUACCCGGAGGAAACUGCUGGAUGGACAUGGCAGAAGGAGGAGCUUCUUGGACAAACCACUCCUGCACAGCUGGCUAAGGAAGGUCGUCUGACUUCCAGGCUGGAAAAACCCAAGCCUGUGCAGCUGCACUUUUGCACAAGAAUUCCAGCAGAGAAUUAAUUUCUUCUCUUUUUACACAAUAAAGACCUUUUUUAGUACUGCAAAGUCUUGAAGUCUUUAAAUUAACCAAUGCUUGAAGACCCAGGGCGCUUCCUAGAGCUACCACGUGCUCCUCUUCCUCAGCCAAGCCUUCCUUUGCUCUCUCCAAGAUGCCAGCUCAACACCCCGCUGCCGCUCAUUCUCCCCAGCAGAAUAUCUGCCUUCAGCACUUCUGCGUGUACACAAUUUGCAAAGUGCUAGGCAAAGAAGCACGCCCCGAAACGGCAAACCCACCAGGAACGUCAGGAGGACAGAUUUGCACAUGUCAAGUCCAUCAUCUCGGGAUGCUUUCAAAGUUUUGCUUUUUUUUUUGUGGCUCUACAAAACACAUCUCCGGGGCCAUUAUAUGAAUUAGUUGCAAAGGGGUGGGGGAGAAGGAGGAGCGCUUAAGAACAGCAAUACACCCCUGUGAGGACAUUGAGAAGCAUCUGGCUCUGAGAUAUUAAGAAAGGGGAAAAAAAAUUAAUCAUGCUGCCUGGGAAAAAAACCUGGCAUCAGCACAGGCACCUUGUCAUAAGGCAGAUAUUAAUAAUGUGAACCCCCAGGGAACGCGCCGCCAGCUGAAAGAUCCGCUCGUUGGCGAUCACAGCGCGGGCAGGUUUAACUGAUGCCUUUUUGAGGCUGUUUGAAUCUUGCUCUAAAACACUUAGGAUUUUUUUUUGCAGCAAAACGAACCCUCAGUGCUCAAGAUUAAAGAAUUACCGCCUUACUCUCUCUUUUUUCCAGGUACCGGUGUGCACGAGGGAGGGCAACGCCGCACCUUGCUGCUCCCCAGCGCUAUAACCAGGGCAGCAGCAAUAACCAGAACUCCCAUUUUGCAGAAAAUUUGUUUCAUGACCAAAACAUAGCAAAUUUCUCCUUUUUUUUUUUUUUUAAUCUACCUUGUUGCUUCUCCAGAGCUGCAGAAAUCGUUCUCGCCUAGUGCCUUGAAAGCAAUCUCGAUAAAGGAACCACUGAUCUGCUGGAAGAGUGUUGCUAAAAGCACACUGGGCACCCAGGACACAACCUUACAGGUAUCUGCUCACCUCCUGGACCAUCCAUGGCUAUCUUACAGGUACUUGCUCACCUCCUGGACCAUCCUUGACUAGCUACAGCUCCAGAUUCACAGGAUACAAACACAACCAACUCGCGGAAACACAGCACCAGCUACAAAAUAAAGGUCUCAAGGAUAAAAUGAUUGAGAAGCACCGAGUUGGAUGUUUCUAUGCUAUUUGAUGAUGUAGGAGCUAACAAGCGGAUACAUCAGAUAAAACAGGUUGCAGUUGGCAGAUCUAGAUGGCAAUUCCCCAGCUGGGGAAUAUCGCUGCGGCAUCCGCAGGUUGGAAGCAGCACACUCCGGCGUGUGAAUGGAAGAUGACACCCCGGAGAUAGCACCAGGUGCUGUCAGCAGCAGGGCACCGUCCCUCCAGGAACGCGGUGCCACCAUCAGUGCCACUCUCUGCUGAGAUCAGACUUAAUUCUGCAGCCGGCUGGCUGGUUUCAAACCACCCUGUCCCGAGAGGGACCGUUUCCUGCAUGGGGUACAGCUGUGAUACAUUCCUAUGCAAAUUAAUCAAUUUUCUCUUUCCCUCUAUGAAAAGUCUCCCAUUUCUUCCCCGUCACUGAAUUUAUCUCCCAAUGGACAUGACAGAAAGCCACACUUGUAGGUUUAUUUUUUUUUUUUUUAACCGAUCUGGUUGCAGAAAGGGACACGUUCAGCCCCAAGAUGCAUGCGGAUAAAAGCCCCAUUGAUUUCAGUAGGGGAUUCACGUGUUUGUCCUUCAUCAGAAGUCCUCGGGAAUGACCCCUUGCCAUCUUCUAAAUCCCCGGAGGCAGAGUACCUCCGCCGUGCCCCUCCGUGUCACCGCCUGGGGAAAUGCUGAACCACAAUUCCUAUUUCUGUGCUGGUCUCUGGUUUGUUCUCCCUUAUUUCCAUUCCCUCAGCCUUUCCAUUUGCACUACCUGUCGCUCUGCACCUGAUGCCAAGAAGAGCUUCUGGGGAAAGGGACAGCCUUUGCUUCUCGCCUGAUGCCUCAAGUGGCAUUCAUGCCAGCUUCAGCCAUAAAAAUCAGCUAGAAGAGCUCAGGGCAACACCGAGCCCGUCGCUCUCCAUGUGCUGCUCUACCGGUGUGCCCUGCUCACAUGCAGACGUAGAGGAACUGGGCACAGCAGUGAAAACUUGCCUUUUUUUGUAAAUAUUUUAAAAGCAAGAUAAGUUUUUCGUUUCGAUUCAAGUUGUGCUUUCCUUUUUCCGCCUGACAAAAUAAAAUCUAAGAGUUUCUGACUGUGUAGUUGUUCCUAGGUAAAUUCAGAGAGCUGUUUCGUGUCGUAAUUUACCCGUGCACAAGAGGAACACCUGGCAAAAAGGGGAAAAAAAAAAAA